rnacentral:misc_RNA from 1 species
GCUUUCAGUGAAAACGCCUGU